GGAUUAUUACAACUCAAGGUGAGAUUUGAGUGGGGAUACAGCCAAACCAUAUCAGGUAGACUUUUAAAGUCACCUCAAAAAAUAUAAUGAUAUGCAGUAUGUUUAUGGCUUCCUCUUCCCCACCAUUCCUUUUCCCCCUCCUGUGGGAUGUCAGGGACUUCUGCUUGUUUUGUGGGGAGGAGGACAAGGGUUGUCCUAAACUAUUGACACAGGCAGUUUGGAUGGGACUUAGCAGUCUCAGGACCCACUGGGCCUCCCUCUGCAAUGUGACUACCAGUAGUGCCCAGCCAACUAUUGAUGGGCAGAUUUAUCCCAUAGAGAUGCGAACAGCAUCUGCUCAGAUGUCAGAUCUGCUGCGGAAAAGAUGAGAAAUGGGCUGCAUAUGUGGGCAUCAUUUUUGCACAGUUCCCUGGUACUCAACGCCCAGAGAGCUGGCAGCCUCUCAUGCAGACCCCUCCUCCCUAUGGCCAGGCCUCCAUCUGCACCAUCCCCACCCCCAUGGUGGAGGAGAAGGAGUGACCCCUGUGGCAGGGAGAAGGUGAAAGUCACCUGCCCAUCCCUCUCCCGAUGUUCUCUUCUGAGACCUCUUUAUUUCCCUAGACCUUUGCCUGUUGGUUCUCAAAAGCAUCAUUUGGAAGUAAGAGGUAAACCCAACUGAAUAUUAACUAUCAUUUUUAUUUUUUUAUUUAUACAAGUUUAUGGGGCACGUGUGAAACUUUGUUACAUGUAUUUAAUGUGUAGUGAUCAAGUCAGAGAAUUUAUUGCGUCCAUCAUCUGAGUACAAUACAUUUUUGUCAACUAUAAUCACCCUACUCUGUUAUCAUGCAUUUAAUUUAUUCCUUCUGUCUUAUUACAUAUUUGUACCCUUUAACCCACUUUUCUUCAUGGCCAAAUAGUAUUUCAUUGUGUAUAUAUGACACAUUUUCUUUAUCCGUUCAUCUGUUGAUGGACACUUGGGUUGAUUCCAUAUCAUUGCUAUUGUGAAUAGUGCUGCAGUAAACGUGGGAGUGCAGGUAUUCCUUUGAUAUAUUGAUUUCUUUUCCUUUGGGUAGAUACCCAGUAAUGGGAUUGCUGGAUUGAAUGGUAGUUCUAUUUUUAGUUUUUUGAGAAGUCUCCAUACUGUUUCUUAUAGUGGCUGUACUAGUUUACAUUGCCACCAUAGUGUAUAAGAGUUCUCUUUUCUCUGCAUCCUUGCCAAGAUCUGUUAUUUGCUGUCUUUUUAAUGAUAGCCAUUCUGACUAUGGUAAGAUGAUAUCUCAUUGUGGUUUUGAUUUGCAUUUUUCUGAUGAUUAGUGAUAGUGAGCAUUUUUUCAUAUACCUGUUGGUCAUUCGUAUGUCUCCUUUUGAGAAAUAUCUAUUCACAUUCUUUGCCUACUUUUUAAUGGGAUUGUUUUUUCUUUUUCCUCUUGAGUUGUUUUAGUUCCUUGCAUAUUCUAGAUAUUAGUUCCCUGUCAGAUGAAUGGCUUGCAAAUAUUUUCUCUCAUCUACAGAUUGUCUCUUCAGUAUGUUAAUUAUUUCUUUUGCUGUGCGGAAGCCUUUUAGUUUAAUUAAGUCCCAUUUGUCUAUUUUUGUUUUUGUUUUUGUUGCCUGUGUUCUCUUUAUAUUUCUGCUAAGAGAAUCAUAAUUCUCCUGGGCAAUGUAUAGGCCUCUGACUCCCCUGACUGUACAGGGGAGAAGUGAUAGAGGAAGAAAAGCACAAUAACUGAUCUAGGUUUGUAUGGGUGAAAUAUACGCAUAUAUGUGUACUUAAAGUAUAUAGAGAGAGACUAUUUAGAUGUUUGAAUUUCUCUUAUAGCUAUCUAUAUGUGUAUAUGUGUGUCUGUAGCUCCCAGAUCUGAUCAUAUCAUGCCCAGCCUUAAAAGCCUUCCAUAGUUCCUUCUUGCUUACUAUAGGAUAAAGUCCAAACUUUCCUUGGCAUGGCCUCCAUGCCCUCUGUCCUCUCCACCCUCCAGCACCAAGCUUCCCUCCAAUCAGCCACCUCCCUUCCCCCACCCUCAGGCUCCCAUCAUGAGCACCACUCCCUGGCCUUCCCAUGAACCCUGCCCUUUCCCAGCUCUCAGCUCUACAGAGGCUGCUCACUCUGACUGCACGCCUCCCCCACUUCUUCUCCAUAGUUGCCUGCCUGCCUUGGAAAGUUCUAUUCAUUCAUCUCAAAUGAACGUUCACUGUCCCUUCUGAGCUAAGCUAUGCCUUCUUGAAAUGGCAGUGCCUAGCACAGUGCAACCUACCAAAAAAUGCCAAGCGAAUUCUCAAGGACCCAAGGCUGAGUCAGGAGUGCCCUCCUUCCCGGCUGCCCGCAGAGCUCCUGGCUCACUAUCCCUCCACAAGAGCUCAGCCCAGGUGUGUGCUGUUCAUGGCAUGCCUGCCUCUCUCAUGACAGCCCUCAAGGCACCACUCGUGUCUCUCUCCUCCAGAAGGGCAUUUUCAGCACCCUGUGCAGGGCCUGACACAUGGUUGCUACCUAGUGUAUGUUUGAAUGAAUUAUAGAUCGCUAGCAUGGGACAGAUACGCUGGAAGCAGAGAAACUGAAAGCAAAAUGUUGGAGGUAUUGCCCAAGAAGCAAUAAUCAGGACCAGUGACAAAGCCUCCCCCACACGUGAGGACUAGUUCACUGAGGAAAAUGAAAUUUUUUUGCAAUGACUUGAACAUCACCACAGCUCUUGAGGAAGGCCAAGGUUGUUUGUUUUUGGGUCCUCCCCCGUUGCUGUGGAUGAUGUGUGGUUAUGAUGGUGCAGCCAAGACAGUGGCAGCAGGCAUGGAGGCCAGCCUGAGGGAAACCUCCAGAAUGCCCUGCCUCCCAAACCUGAGCAGAGCCCAUCUGCUUCCCCUCUACACAUCUGUUGCAGCAGGAAAUCCAAAGCCAUGUUUCUGAUUUGCCACUUCUGUUAGCCAUUAGACUCUUGGCUGGUUUCUGGUCUUCCUGACUGUCAGAUCUGGCUUCGGGCCUGGUGACCCGGCAUAUCCCUUUAAGAUUGCAACAGGGUCAACGGCUAUUGUCAUUGACUACUCUCUUUAUUAUCAUAUUUCCAAGGACUUCCUAUUCCUUCUUCCCUUGUAUGAAAUUUCUAACAUCCAUCGGUACAAAACCCAGGAGGGCAGGUAUUUUGGCCUGUUUUAUCUACUGUCAUAGCCCAAUGGCUGUGAUGAACAAUAGCAGGUACAGUGGAUGCCUUUGACGCAGGGCAGGCAAGCUCCAAAGUGGAGCUUAGCCCACUGGGUUCUUGGCUUUGCCCAGUGAAGAAUUCAAGGGCAAGCUGGAGACAGAAGAAAACAGCUUUAUUAUUAUUAUCAUUAUUUUACUAUUAUUAUUAUUAUUUGAGAUGGAGUCUCGCUCUGUUGCCCAGGCUGGAGUGCAGUGGUGCAAUCUCAGCUCACUGCAACCUCCGCCUCCCGGGUUCAAGAGGUGUUACAGUUCCAUGACUGCUCCUGUAGAGCAGGACUACUGUGUAGGGAGAGAGUAGCCGUUCAGGGCCAUUCUGCAGUCAUAUUUACACGCACUUUAAUUGCAUGCAGAUAAAGGAACAGUUUAUGCAGCAAUUUCUAGGGAAGGGAUAGUAACUUUUGGGUCAUUGGGUCAUUGCCAUGGAAAAGGGUGGUAACGCCCACAUGUUGCUAUGGCAACGGUGAAUUGACCCGGCACACUAGUGGGCGUGUCUGAUUGAAAGCGGCUUUCUCUGGGGCCGUUUUAGCUAGUCCUCAAUCUGGUCCCGUGUCCAAGUGUCCAAGCCAUGCCUCUGGAGUUGAGUGCCACCUCCUACCUCACCUUGUUGAAUAGAAAAUGAAUGAGUGACAGUAUGAAUGAAUGGACACCUGUUAAAAGAGCCAUCUAUUACAGCUAAAUGAAUGAAGGGCAUAGACAGUCCUUUGGUUGUUUUUCCAACUAGAAAUCUCUCCCUGUGUUCUGUGAUGGCCUAAGUCUGGCCCUGCUCAAGUGAGGGACUUCCUCGAUGGGCUGGUCUCAUUCUUGUGCCCUCCAGGACAGCAGGGCAGAGGGAGAGGGAAAUGGGAGGGGCUGAGGGACAACGUGGCUCUUCUGGGAGCCUCUUUACCCUGUGAAAUUUCCUCUGGCAGCUUUCCCCCUUGGCCUGCAGCCUGUGCCGGCCCCUGCCCCCAACUCAUUGGCUUUGGUUACAGGGACAGGCCCAGAGUCAAGAACAAUAAAGGGAGGAGGGGCCUGCUUCACAGGGUCAGGGGUCAGGGAGGGGGUUUGAAGGGUGAGGAGAUUGGCUCUGUGUAGCAUCCGGUUUCAAACAACUCUGUUUAGAAAUAGAAGAGAAGCCCUCCGGAAAAUGGAAGGGCUCUGGCAGGCCUCCCAGCUGGCCAAGGAACAGCAAGUUCCUGCCAAUAUGUGACGGAAGUGGGGGAUUUGUGGGGAGGGAGGAGGGAAGAGGGCACUGGAGGGAGUAGACACAACCUAGCAACAUUUUCCCUGCUAAAAACCUUGCUCUGAAGUAAACAUGGAGGGUUCUUAUUCUUCCUGGCUGUGUGCACUCGGGCCAGCCUACUUCCUGUGGGCGCAAUUAUUCCCAGGGGUGUGUGUUUUCGUUUUUAAAGACAGAGAAUUAUAAGCUAUUCAUGGUCACUGCCUGAGAAUUCUUUGGAAUAAUGAGAUAGAAAAAUCAUCUCUACUGUUCACAUUUCUGAGGAAGAACAAGCCUUCUAGACUCUCUCCUAGGAUGGGGCUGGGAAACUCACUUUUUCUCCUGCUAAGCUCCUUCUCAGUCCAUUAGAGCCAGAGGGCCAAUAGGGGCCUCUUCGUGCUUUGUAGGCUAGAGGGUGUAAAGAACCUAGAUGUGCAGGAAAUCUGCUCUGGCUGAUCAGGCAGGUGAACUCGGGGAGGGAGAGCUCUAAGGGAGGACCAAAUGAGACAGUGGAGAUGGCGGCUCGGCUUCAGCUCACCCCUGCUGGAGCAUUCUUAGUGAUCACAAAACCCACACUACUGCCUCGCUGAUACCAUAAUGUGCAACCAUGCCUUUUACUUUACAAAUUUCAGGCACUGGCCUUUGGAGAUAACAAGGUUGUGAAGUGUCCCACUUCGGGAAGGAAUGCUAACAAUUGAGUUACCGCCUUGUUGCCACUGACCAGAGCAUCAGGUGGUCCAUUACUCAAGAUAACCGUGGCAACCAGAUAUGCUGACCCUCAUCCCCUACCCUCAGGUGCUUUGCCCAGCCCACCCUGUAUACCUCAUGCCCCAUGUUAAUUCCUGCGCUUUGCCUAAUAAAAAAGCAGGGCUCUUUUGGGGGAGUAAGUCAGGGAAUUCUCUCUCUGUCUCUGUCUCUGUCUCUCUCUCUCUCUCUCUCGCUGCCUCUUUUAUGUCCAGGCAUAAGCUCCAGUGAAGCCUUGUUUGGAAAAACUCUUUGGGCCUUGUGUGAAUUUCUAUUGCAUUGAGAGCCCAAGAAUCAUGGUUGGUAAUGUGAGGGGCCUUAUUGAGGGGGGGCAAGUCAUUCCACAUUUUCCAAAUGAGACCGAAGUGGAUACACAGACUAACAAUAACUGCAGUGACUCAUUCUCCUUUCCAGAACCUCAACUCACAGCUGUCCCCAGUGGCUUUGUGGCAUUUCACAACAGUUUUGACUUUAGAACCUCUCUCACCUUGGCCCCCACUCCAGAGCCAAAGGAACCCCCACAUCUCAGGAAGUAGGUUAUGAAUCUGGGAUACCCUGGAAGCCCAGAUGCAAAACCCAUAUUAGGGAGGAGGAAAUGGGGAAAAUGAAUGUUUUUUAAAGCCACCUUCUACACAAGCCUCCCCAAGAAGGGUGGAUCAUCUUUGCUGCUAUAGGAACUCUUAUUCAUUGCUGGUGGAGGGUCCAAAGAGAUAAUGUUAAAGUAUUGAUUUGAGCUGAAGGAGUGAAUUAUGCUAAUAAUUAGAUUAUUAAUCCUUUUACAAAUCUAACACUAUCCAAUUAUUUUAACAAAGAUGAAGGAGAAACUAAUGAGUGUUCCAUAAUAUCAGUAUUGGACAACGUAGCUUUAGAGCUUUAUGGUCACAGAAAAGGAAAAAAAAUUGAAUUUGUAUACAUUUUAAGAGAAAUGAUAAGGCGAUUAAUAAAUGACUUUGAUCAUAAAUGUAUAUUAUAUCAGGAUAAAGUUCUUUAGGGAAAGAGGAGUGGAAAUACAAACUCAAGGAGAAAAAAGGAAUAAUGUAAAAUUUCUGACUGUUAAAGAAGAGCUUGUUCGUGAUUUUUUUUAAAAAAAUGGAACAUAUUAAAUUGCUAAAACAUUCCAAUUCUAUUUUGAUACAUUUAAAUAGUGGCUUAUAGUUAUUCCAAAAUGUUUAACUGUUAAAAUGUUAAAAGAUUUCAAAUUUACAGUAAAAUGUAACAUUUUUCAGCUAUUUAAACUCAAAAUGAGAUUUAAAAUACCAACACAAAAAUUUUAAGGCAUCCCUUCAGAGUAGAGGAGGAAAAAAAAACUGUCAAAGGGGAUAUAUAAUGUUCCAACAUUAUUUUAGGGGACAUGCAAUGCAAGCAAAAUACUUGAAGACUCCUGAGCUGGACAGCAUUUGUGUUCUUUUCAACUCUUUGGAUUUUGUGGAUGGGGUCUAAGAGGUUACUCUGGUGAGUGGGCACUGCAAAGAGCAGGACACCUAUCUCCAAAUGUAAAGGUUCACUUACAACCAAGUCUCCAAACAAAACAAAGUAGAAACAAGCCAACAAAUAAAACCCACCAUCUCCUUCUCUUAUACACACACACACACACACACACACAGAGCAGACCCCCCAAGCCCCCCAGUAGUUGUUCCAGUAUAGGCCGUUCAUCAACCUGUGAAAACAUGAGCUUCGUUAGCAACAGGGCAUGGUCUGAUCCCUGGGAAAUCUCUGGAGCUGGGAGUGGCCUCAAAGAGGAUCAUUAAAGAUCAAAAACCCCACUUGAAGUUGUUUGUUCUGCUGCAGUGUAAAUCCUCUUGGCUGAGCAGCCCUUGACAGAGUCUGCUGCCUAAACAGAAGUCUUAGACGGGUGUUUGGUUUGUUUUCUGUGGAAAUCAAGGCAAAGGUCUGAGUUCCACAUCUGAGUGCAGACCCAGGACAGUGUACACGGGAUGGCAAAGUGACUCAAACUGAAAGAACUCAGUGGAAGCAGAAACUAGGAGCCAGAGGUGAGAACAUAAGCCUCCCCACCCCCAAAUGGAGAAUAUGGAGACAUCCUGGGGACAGUGGCCUUUCCAGGCACGUAGAGGGUUCAUGAGCUUGCAUUUUGUCAUGCAUGAGGAGCCCAGCUUGCUUAUAUUCAGCUCUGCGUGGAUUCCUCGUGCUGUUGUCCUACUCCAGGUGUCAGGAAUAGCUCAGCCCUUCCCAGAGGCAGCAAGAGAGCAAGAAGGACAGAGGAGACUGAGCUGGCAGGUCUCUAAAUGACCUCAAGUCACCACAGCCACUGGUGCUGAAGGAAAUGGGAAAAUAGUCUCGUGACCCAGCGAGUGCUUCCCAUGCAGGUGAGCGCUGACAGUGGGAGACAGGGGUGUAUCAUCCUGGCAAGAGAGCAGAGGGGAGAGGAGAGGACUCCUCAUGCUGUGGGAGCUGGAAUCCUGGCUUGGCUGCCCUGAGUCAGCCUUCAAUAGCCAGAGCCAGACCUCCCCUUCCUAGCAGGGCCCUGCCCAGAUCAGGUGGCCGGGAGGGGCUGUUGCUCAGCCCUAAUCCUGGGAUCAACCCCAGGAAGUGGUAGCAGGACCCAGGUGGCCUUGGACCAUUUCAAAGACUGGCAUCAGAUGUUUAUCAGCUAGUAUUUGUACAAGGCCCAGGCUGAGGAUGCAUAAGAGACUGUGAAAAAUGUCAGGAAAGCGAAAACAGCUUUCUGUAAAUAGGGCUCAGACCCUGGGCAAGGUGCUAUGUCUCCCCUUGGGGCUUUGGUGAAGGAAAACGCAAACAUUAAUCCAGAGUGAGAGAAAGAAACAGACACCACCUUGUAGGAAGAUGGAGGACUGACUCCAGGAAACUCCAAGAGACGGGAUGCAAAGAGAGGCAGGGUCUGUGUUUUACUUUUUCUUUGAAUGUUCUGCAGUCUGUCAUCUCUGGAGGCCUCAGAACCUGGUGUCACAUUACAGGGUGAAUGCCAGGGACAAGCUAAAGAGAGGAGAAGGUAUGACAUAGCUCCACCUACAUGCAAGGGGAGCCAGGAAGUGCAAUCCCUGGCUGGGCUGCCACGUCUCAGAAACCAUUAAGCCUAUGGAAGGUCUCUGGAUUUGAUGGCAAAUGGCAGCAGAAAUGUGGAAAAGAUCAAAGUGAUGUCAAGGUUGAUCUCUGAGUUUGGCAUGGCUGAACUCAAACAUCAUUUGCCAUGGACCCACAGUGUCUUCAGUAGCUGAGUGUGGUGUCAUUCCCCUAUGAUAUGUGCACUCAAUUGCUGGCCAGUUUUUGUUUUUUGUUUUUGAGAGAGUCUCGCUUUGUCUCCUAGGCUGGAGUGCAGUGGCACGAUCUCGGCUCACUGCAACCUCCGCCUCCCGGGUUCAAGUGAUUUUCCUGCCUCAGCCUCCCGAGUAGCUGAGAUUACAGGCAUGUGCCAGCAGGCCCGGCUAAUUUUUUUUGUAAUUUUAGUAGAGACGGGGUUUUGCCAUGUUGGCCAGGCUGGUCUCGAGCUCCUGGCCUCAAGUGAUCCACCUGCCUCCACCUCCCAAAGUGCUGGGAUUACAGGUGUGAGCCACUGUACCUGGCCCCAAAGUUUUAGAAAUUGGAUCAUUUUAAAUGUUGGAGGGGAGUUCAUUGUUUAGGAUGGCUGUGUGGCAAAUCUUUUUUUAAAGUAAGUAAUUCUCCUCUAUUAUAAGUCACCUCCUGAUCUCUACAUUUAAGGUUUGCUGUCCUGGAUGUGUUCACCUAUGAAUGUAAGUGUGCUGAGAUACACAGUGCAAGGCUGAAGUCAGAGUACACCACUGAUGAACCCCUGGGAACUGGUAACCCAGCCAGGGAAUGAACAUCUUUUAUGAAUCAGUUUAUCCACCAAACACUUGCAGAGAGCCUAUCCCAUGCCACCCCUGAGGGCACGGUGAUGGAGAAGAUAUGCUUCCUGCCUCCAAGAACCCCAUAGUCUAGUGGCAGAGACAAGCAGGUACAUAGCUGCCUAUAGUACAGCAUCACAGGUGCCAUAACAUUGUGUAAACUGGGAAUAAUUCUAUUCUCUGGAUAUAGAACAUCUAACCAAGAUAUUGAGUAUCUGGCUUCCCCUUCCCCACACUGGCCCUCACUGGGAUCCAUGUCUAAUAUUAUGAAAGUCACACAAUAUCAUUAUAAACUAAUCAUAAAUGGCACUGUCAGUUUGCUACAAAAACUUAUUCAGAAAAUAUUCAGAUUCUCCCAUCAACAUAUGCCGCUAUGUUGGCAAAAGCUCUGAUUUAAAAUACUUAUUUCGUUUUCCUCUCCGAUUUUGUUCUAGUCUUCAAAAUGAUUUCAUACAACAUAGCACUGAGUUCCUUAGUUCCUCUGACCCCUGCCAGAUCUGAAGCUGUGAUGUUCAAAAGUCAGGGCAGAGUCCAUCUUAUGAUUGAGUUUCAUAAGAGUCUAAGCCACUGAUCAACAUACUGUGGCAGAGUAAGCUUUCUGGGUUCCAGAAUUUAUUGUGAGUGGGCUGAGGGAGUUGAGAAAUGGCAUGGGAGGCCUAAAGAGAAAAUAACUUUUGAAUGAAAAUUAUAGGAAAGUGGAUUUGAGAUCAAAACAAAGGAAGGUUGAUCAUAGUUGGAAUCAUUUAAGAUUGGUGGGGGUAGUGGGCUUCUGGUUCUUAACCCAGGCCAGGCAGAGGUGUGACAACAGUCAGGGGUUUCUAAACAGGGUGGGAGGUUAGAUGAGAAUAGCCUUCAACCCUUUGUGUUGAACUAAAAUCCUAGCUCUGCUUUCAACUCCUAGACUCUGCUUCAUCAUUGCUAAGUUGGAAAGAGCAAGCAAUUGAGAGUCCCUGCUGGCCACAGCUGGGGUGCCCCAGACCACAGCACUGAGCCUCAAAGGCAAGUGAGCAUAGUGUUGGGAGCUGGGCUUCUGGAUCCAUCAACUCCAUCUGAUGACUCGGAAGUUCCUUCAGUUCCCAACACUGGAGUCCAGCAAGGCUGGUUUGUCUUGUUUUAAUUAUUAUUUAGAUGACUGUUUGGCUCAUACCUGAGCAAGGUUCAAAUCAAGUCAGACCUGUUAAUUUAAUCAAAGUUAUAUAAUCACAUUUGGGCACUUAAAUGUAAACCAAUUAUGUUGGAAGCCAAGUAUCUUGUACUCAGGAGGGAGUUCUAAUAAGUGCUGGGAAUGUAUGCUAAUGCACAAAGCCUAACCCCCAGAGUGGAGGGUGGAGCACUCCAGGGCACUCCUGUUUCGGUGACGUUGUUUUAAUAGCUAGUGCUCUGGGUGCAGUCUGGGAAGAUAUUGGAAACAUCUCAAGCAAGUAUGACAUCCAUUUUACCCAAGCCCAUGGAACCCAUUAUGUUUGGAACAUGUCUGUCUGUGGCAUUUGGCUUGGCUUAUAAAUGCACUAUCAGAAUCUAUAGGAGGCCUUCGCAACAAGACGUGUCUUGGCCUUUCUGGUUAUCAGCAAUCCCUCCACCUCUCUCUUAACAAACAUAUGCCAUAAGUCCUGAUCAGGCAUUUAGUUUUUUCACUUGGACCUUUUCCUAGUUCCUAGUCUCAACCCCAAUGCCUCCUAAUCUUGUACUUCUUCAAAUACUGGCCCCCCUCUACUAUGAGAGAGAGAGGAAAGUAGGGAGGAGAAGGAGGAAAAGUUAUUGAGUUGAUAUGAGGGUAGUCAACCUAAAGCAACAAUCAGGAGUAAGGUACUGGACUUGAGUUUGAAGUGUUUGUCACUAAACUCUCUCAAACUCUUCCAGGCUAACUAGCCUCAGAGGGCUUCUAGCCCAUAGUCUCCUUGUAUUUUCUGCCCUCCUCACUUGGAGUGGGAGGGAACCAGAUGUCCAGUCUUUGUCCCGUGUUAAGAACUGGCCUGGCAGGCUUUGUUGAGACCAUCCAGACUUGAAAGCCUCACAACCAGAUGCCAUCACAGGCACUUUCUGCUCUUAACCUUUGUCUGUGUCUCCUACAUGAACUCAUCAGACUGCCUCUGAAGAGGGACAUUCUAGGGACAGUUUCAUCUUCAUCACCAUCCUGGAUAGGGAACCCUUCCAGACUCAGAGUUGCAAAAGUCAGGGAGGGGCUGCUCACUGGAGGUGGAGUCCUUUGGCCAGGUUUCACUGUAAACACAUGGCUAAAAUGUGUCGCACAUGGACAGGCAUGCUAGUGUGCUCUGGAUACAUGCUAGUGUGCCCCAGAUAUAUGCUAGUGUGCCCCGUAUAGCUUCUGGCUAAAGGACACACCUCAGCAAGGCCAAAUGAGGCAUCAGGAUGAACUCUUCAAAUAGACUUCAUUAGACCCACAGAAGACUAACCUUUGCCUGACUUUGGAUUACCCCUUUCUUGCCAGGAAUUAUGUUCAAUGACUAUAUCUGGAACUAGAGGUCUUGAUAGCCACACUUUGCUUGGUGUGGCUUCUCAGUCUUUUAAGGACAUGGCUAUCAAGGGCUCAUGUUUAUUCCAGGUCAGCCCUUUACCCCUUUCCUCCAGGGGCAUCUAUGGCAACAAAAGACCAUGACAUCUGGCAGGGCUGGCAGGACUAUUUAGUUUAGGCAGGAAUGUGGGUGUUAGCAUGUCAGAGUACAUCUGAGAAAACAUUCCAAACCAACCUUUCCACACUGGGAACUCAACCCCCAGGAAUCACCAAAGAUAAGGGCAACAGUCUUAUCUCUCGAGGGAAGUUCAGGGUAAAGUCCACUCCUGCUGUGGACCAGAGCUCAGGGAAGAAGAAAGCUCAGGCUGGCUCUGCCUGUCCACUUGAUGAACUUCCACAAAUGCCACUCUGGGAGCUGAGGCAUAUGAAGUGGGGAAGAAAAUACCAGCCCUGCCCUGGAGCUCUGGGAUGGUGGCUGUACACCCCUAAAGAUGCCAGCAGAUCUGAACUGUGGCCUAUGUGUGUUUGGGAAUUGAGAAAUAAGGAGAUAGAGGGACAGCAGGCAGGAAAAACUACAAUUAGUCUCAGCUCACACAGAUUUGGGAGUAUGCAGAUCUGAAUUGUGGCCUCCAUGUGUUUGGCUGAAGGAUAAUGAUCUCAGGCCCAGACUUUUUUUUUUUUUUGUAUCACUCGCUCAGGGGGCUCUGACCAGGAGCUUCUUUCAGAUGACACAGAUCCCGAGGAGCCACUUGCCUUCUACCCAUGACACUUCUAAGAGUGACUCUUGCCAUGUGACCAUAGAGAUAAGUGAAGUUUUCUCCAAUGACAUCAUUAAGAAGUCUAAACUUCCCCAAAGGGAGAGGCUGUGACUAGGAACACAAAUGUCUCAGUGUAUCACACUCAUGCUCCCAGAUCUGUGGGCAGAAAAAGAAAUCAUAGAAUGGUGCAUAUCCUAAAAAUAAAAAGGAAAUUGCUUUUCAAGUUAUGAAAUUUGGCCCUUCUCAUUGUGAGUUUAAAGUACAUGUUACUGCUUCAGUUUCUAAAACAGGAGGUGGCCAAAUUCAGAGUUUAAAAUGUCUAAGUGGUUAUUUGAAAACAGAUAUUUAGAGGCAACUGAGAGAAGAAUACUGGGGCCAUGGGUCUGCAGUCACUUUCCCAGCAGUGCUCUGAGGCCUUGGGUCUCAUAAAAGGUAAUCAUAGUUACGCCUUUUAAAGAAAGCUGAGUCUAACUGUAGCUUUUCCUGCCUGUUGUCCCUCUAUCUCCUUACUUCCCAAUUCUAUCUAUCUUUCAAAACCCAGCUCAAAUCCCACCUCCUUCCAUAAGUCUUCCAUUGUUUAAUAUAGUUGGAAUUUACCUCUCCCUCCUCUAACUCCCAUGGCAUUUUAUUUACACCUCUCUGAUGGCCACUUUCUACUUUCUAUAAGGUAAGUUAUAUACUUGUUUUAUAUCAAUAAAUUUCAAAAUAUUGAAAUCUUA